rnacentral:rRNA from 1 species
AGUGAACGCUGGCGGUAGGCCUAACACAUGCAAGUCGAACGGCAGCACAGUAAGAGCUUGCUCUUACGGGUGGCGGGUGGCGGACGGGUGAGGAAUACAUCGGAAUCUACUUUUUCGUGGGGGAUAACGUAGGGAAACUUACGCUAAUACCGCAUACGACCUACGGGUGAAAGCAGGGGAUCUUCGGACCUUGCGCGAUUGAAUGAGCCGAUGUCGGAUUAGCUAGUUGGCGGGGUAAAGGCCCACCAAGGCGACGAUCAGUAGCUGGUCUGAGAGGAUGAUCGGCCACACUGGGACAGAGACACGGUCCGGACUCCUACGGGAGGCAGCAGUGGGGAGUAUUGGACGAUGGGGGCAAGCGUGAUACAGCCAGACGCAGUGAGGGAAGAAGGCCGUCGAGUUGUAAAGGCCUUUAGUUGGGAAAGAAAAGCAGCAGGUUAAUACCGUGCUGUUCUGACGGUAACCAAAGGAUAAGCACCGGCUAACUUCGUG